rnacentral:rRNA from 1 species
CGUUGUCCGGAAUCCCUGGGUGUAAAGGGUGUGCAGGCGGGGCAACAAGUUGGAUGUGAAACCCCAUGGCUCAACCAUGGAGGUGCAUUUGAAACUGUUGCUCUUGAGUCCCGGAGAGGCUGUUGGAAUUCGUGGUGGAGCGGUGAAAUGCGUAGAUAUCACGAGGAACACCAGAGGCGAAAGCGGGCAACUGGACGGGUACUGACGCUCAGGCACGAAAGCGUGGGGAGCAAACAGGAUUAGAUACCCUGGUAGUUCCCGCCGUAAACGAUGAACGCUUGCCGUUGCCCCGCUCAAGGGGCAGUGGCUAAGCUAACGCGUU